rnacentral:rRNA from 1 species
AACGCUAGCUACAGGCUUAACACAUGCAAGUCGAGGGGCAGCAUGAACUUAGCUUGCUAAGUUUGAUGGCGACCGGCGCACGGGUGAGUAACGCGUAUCCAACCUUCCGUACACUCAGGAAUAGCCUUUCGAAAGAAAGAUUAAUACCUGAUGGUAUGAUGAGAUUGCAUGAAAUCAUCAUUAAAGAUUCAUCGGUGUACGAUGGGGAUGCGUUCCAUUAGAUAGUAGGCGGGGUAACGGCCCACCUAGUCGACGAUGGAUAGGGGUUCUGAGAGGAAGGUCCCCCACAUUGGAACUGAGACACGGUCCAAACUCCUACGGGAGGCAGCAGUGAGGAAUAUUGGUCAAUGGGCGCGAGCCUGAACCAGCCAAGUAGCGUGAAGGAUGAAGGUCCUACGGAUUGUAAACUUCUUUUAUAAGGGAAUAAAGUCACCUACGUGUAGGUGUUUGUAUGUACCUUAUGAAUAAGCAUCGGCUAACUCCGUGCCAGCAGCCGCGGUAAUACGGAGGAUGCGAGCGUUAUCCGGAUUUAUUGGGUUUAAAGGGAGCGUAGGCGGGUCGUUAAGUCAGCUGUGAAAGUUUGAGGCUCAACCUUAAAAUUGCAGUUGAUACUGGCGUCCUUGAGUACGGUUGAGGCAGGCGGAAUUCGUGGUGUAGCGGUGAAAUGCAUAGAUAUCACGAAGAACUCCGAUUG